GACGUAGGGGGCGAGCGUUAUCCGGAUUCACUGGGCGUAAAGGGCGCGUAGGCGGUUACGAAAGUCCGAUGUGAAAAGUCACGGCUCAACUGUGAUCGUGCAUCGGAUACUUCGUUGACUUGAGGUCGGUAGAGGCAAGUGGAACUAGCGGUGUAGCGGUGAAAUGCGCAGAUAUCGCUAGGAACGCCGGUGGCGAAGGCGACUUGCUGGGCCGUACCUGACGCUGAUGCGCGAAAGCUAGGGGA
rnacentral:rRNA from 1 species